rnacentral:miRNA from 1 species
GACUGCUGGUGUCAUGUAUU